rfam:Exophiala mesophila strain CBS 40295 unplaced genomic scaffold supercont1.5, whole genome shotgun sequence.
GCCCGGCUAGCUCAAUCGGUAGAGCGUAAGACUCUUACCACACUGGUGAUCUUAAGGCUGUGGGUUCGACCCCCACGUCGGGCU